rnacentral:ncRNA from 1 species
ACACCGAAAGGGCAAACCGUCCGUAAGGACGGGGCGCAAAGCCGGGCGCAGGGGGAAAGCAUCUCUGCACGACCGGCUGCCGAA